rnacentral:rRNA from 1 species
AACGCUGGCGGCACGCUUAACACAUGCAAGUCGAACGAGAGAAGAGAAGCUUGCUUUUCUGAUCUAGUGGCGGACGGGUGAGUAACACGUGAGCAAUCUGCCUUUCAGAGGGGGAUACCGAUUGGAAACGAUCGUUAAUACCGCAUAACAUAAUUGAACCGCAUGAUUUGAUUAUCAAAGAUUUAUCGCUGAAAGAUGAGCUCGCGUCUGAUUAGCUAGUUGGUAAGGUAACGGCUUACCAAGGCGACGAUCAGUAGCCGGACUGAGAGGUUGAUCGGCCACAUUGGGACUGAGACACGGCCCAGACUCCUACGGGAGGCAGCAGUGGGGAAUAUUGCACAAUGGAGGAAACUCUGAUGCAGCGAUGCCGCGUGAGGGAAGAAGGUUUUAGGAUUGUAAACCUCUGUCUUCAGGGACGAAAAAAGACGGUACCUGAGGAGGAAGCUCCGGCUAACUACGUGCCAGCAGCCGCGGUAAUACGUAGGGAGCGAGCGUUGUCCGGAAUUACUGGGUGUAAAGGGAGCGUAGGCGGGAUCGCAAGUCAGAUGUGAAAACUAUGGGCUUAACCCAUAAACUGCAUUUGAAACUGUGGUUCUUGAGUGAAGUAGAGGUAAGCGGAAUUCCUAGUGUAGCGGUGAAAUGCGUAGAUAUUAGGAGGAACAUCAGUGGCGAAGGCGGCUUACUGGGCUUUAACUGACGCUGAGGCUCGAAAGCGUGGGGAGCAAACAGGAUUAGAUACCCUGGUAGUCCACGCCGUAAACGAUGAUUACUAGGUGUGGGGGGACUGACCCCUUCCGUGCCGCAGCAAACGCAAUAAGUAAUCCACCUGGGGAGUACGACCGCAAGGUUGAAACUCAAAGGAAUUGACGGGGGCCCGCACAAGCAGUGGAGUAUGUGGAUUAAUUCGAAGCAACGCGAAGAACCUUACCAGGUCUUGACAUCGUAUGCAUAGCUCAGAGAUGAGUGAAAUCUCUUCGGAGACAUAUAGACAGGUGGUGCAUGGUUGUCGUCAGCUCGUGUCGUGAGAUGUUGGGUUAAGUCCCGCAACGAGCGCAACCCUUACUGUUAGUUGCUACGCAAGAGCACUCUAGCAGGACUGCCGUUGACAAAACGGAGGAAGGUGGGGAUGACGUCAAAUCAUCAUGCCCCUUAUGACCUGGGCCUCACACGUACUACAAUGGCUGUCAACAGAGGGAUGCAAAGCCGCGAGGUGGAGCGAACCCCUAAAAGCAGUCUUAGUUCGGAUUGUAGGCUGCAACCCGCCUACAUGAAGUCGGAAUUGCUAGUAAUCGCAGAUCAGCAUGCUGCGGUGAAUACGUUCCCGGGCCUUGUACACACCGCCCGUCACGCCAUGGGAGUCGGUAACACCCGAAGCCUGUAGUCUAACCGCAAGGAGGACGCAGUCGAAGGUGGGAUUGAAAAA